UGAUUGAUAGUUAAAUAAAUAAUAAUGGGUUGCAAACCCAGAGGUGGAUGGAUAGUUCUCAAUCGU
rnacentral:tRNA from 2 species